GAGUUUGAUCGUGGCUCAGAGUGAACGCUGGCGGCAGGCCUAACACAUGCAAGUCGAACGGCAGCACAGCAGUAGCAAUACUGUGGGUGGCGAGUGGCGGACGGGUGAGGAAUACAUGGGAAUCUACCCUGUCGUGGGGGGAUAACGUAGGGAAACUUACGCUAAUACCGCAUACGACCGAGAGGUGAAAGCGGCGGACCGCAAGGCGUCGCGCGAUUGGAUGAGCCCAUGUCGGAUUAGCUAGUUGGCGGGGUAAAGGCCCACCAAGGCGACGAUCCGUAGCUGGUCUGAGAGGAUGAUCAGCCACACUGGAACUGAGACACGGUCCAGACUCCUACGGGAGGCAGCAGUGGGGAAUAUUGGACAAUGGGCGCAAGCCUGAUCCAGCCAUGCCGCGUGAGUGAAGAAGGCC
rnacentral:rRNA from 1 species